CCGCGUCCAUUGAUAGACCUGGGCCAACGUACUGCUGUUCUUCCGGUUUGCACUACGAAGUAAAAGAAAAAGAUCCCUGCGCUAUCUGUCCGUCUGUCUGUAUGUGGGGCAGAUCCAGAUUGAAUGCGGGAAUACAUAC
ensembl:snoRNA